rnacentral:rRNA from 1 species
UCCUACGGGAGGCAGCAGUGAGGAAUAUUGGGCAAUGGACGAAAGUCUGACCCAGCAACGCCGCGUGGAGGAUGAAUGCCGUAAGGUUGUAAACUCCUUUUGAGAGGGACGAAAACCCAUAUUUCGUAAGGGAUACGGUUUGACUGUACCUCUAGAAGAAGCCCCGGCUAACUACGUGCCAGCAGCCGCGGUAAUACGUAGGGGGCAAGCGUUGUCCGGAUUUACUGGGUGUAAAGGGCGCGUAGGCGGAUUUGUAAGUCAGAGGUGAAAGCCCGCAGCUUAACUGCGGAACUGCCUUUGAUACUGCUUAUCUUGAGUUCGGAAGAGAGAAGCGGAAUUCCAGGUGUAGUAGUGAAAUACGUAGAUAUCUGGAAGAACACCAGUGGCGAAGGCGGCUUCUUGGUCCGUAACUGACGCUGAGGCGCGAAAGCGUGGGGAGCAAACAGGAUUAGAUACCCGGGUAGUC